AUACGUAGGGAGCGAGCGUUGUCCGGAAUUACUGGGUGUAAAGGGAGCGUAGGCGGGAGUGCAAGUCAGAUGUGAAAUACAUGGGCUCAACCCAUGGGCUGCAUUUGAAACUGCAUUUCUUGAGUGAAGUAGAGGUAAGCGGAAUUCCUGGUGUAGCGGUGAAAUGCGUAGAUAUCAGGAGGAACACCGGGGGCGAAGGCGGCUUACUGGGCGUUUACUGACGCUGAGGCUCGAAAGCGUGGGGAGCAAACAGGAUUAGAUACCCUGGUAGUCCACGCUGUAAACGAUGAUUACUAGGUGUGGGGGGACUGACCCCUUCCGUGCCGCAGUUAACACAAUAAGUAAUCCACCUGGGGAGUACGGCCGCAAGGUUGAAACUCAAAUGAAUUGACGGGG
rnacentral:rRNA from 1 species